UACGUAGGCAGCAAGCGUUGUUCGGAGUUACUGGGCGUAAAGGGUGUGUAGGCGGUUGUUUAAGUUUGGUGUGAAAUCUCCCGGCUCAACUGGGAGGGUGCGCCGAAUACUGAAUGACUAGAGUGCGGGAGAGGAGAGUGGAAUUCCUGGUGUAGCGGUGAAAUGCGUAGAUAUCAGGAGGAACACCGGUGGUGUAGACGGCUCUCUGGACCGUAACUGACGCUGAGACACGAAAGCGUGGGUAGCAAACAGG
rnacentral:rRNA from 1 species